UGGGGUUGUUGGAGGAAAGCAGAAACACAUUUCCCACUUGCACGUGCUGAGUCUCCACUGUCCUAUCUUGGACAUUUGUCUUAUAUCCAUUACUGAAGCUGCAUGGACGUGGGCAUUCUAAUUUCUUACUUUAUUUCUUAUAUGCCCACCUGUGUCAAUAUUUUGUAAUUUCUCUUUAAAAUAUAAUAAUGAUUUUUUAAGCAAUUCAUUUUUUC
rnacentral:lncRNA from 1 species